UCGCCUACGCUGCCGCCGCCGCCGCCGCCGCCGGGACCCAGCGCGCGCGGGAGCCGCCGGCGGCGCCGACCGGAAGAAGCCGAGAGGCCGCGGAAGGCCGGCGGCGGGCGGGGGUGCGGGGGUGCGGGACGGGCCCCUCCCCCCGCCUCUGCGCCCCGGCGCCGCCUCCGCGCCCGCCACCUCCCCCCGCCGGGGUCCCGGGGCCGGGGCCGAGCCUCCUGCGGGGUCCCGGGGCCGGCGGGGCAGAGGCCCGCGCACCUGGACGCGGCGCCCGGGGGGUCCGAGGCAGCCCUCCCCCCCCCGCCGCCCGCUUUCCAGGCCCAGAGGGGGUGGACCGACAGCGGCUCACCAAAAAGUCCAAGGGAGCAUUUUUCCUUCAGCCCGCCUCCUGCAACCUCCAAGGUAACCAGAUUCAUCUUAGAGCCAGUUCUCUCGCCGUUCACGGCUACCUCCUCCUGCUGGGGCUGCGGGAAGCUUUCCAGAACAGAGCAGAACUGUCAGCUGUGAAGUCCUGACCUCCUGUGUUGCCUAGAAAUCACGAAUUUCCUCAUUUACUGGAUAACUAGUGAGUGCUUGCUGGUUAGUCUGAGCGCCCCACUGCCGCAUAGAGUCUCUACCCUCAGACACUUACAAGCCCCUUUAGAGGUGAGACGGGGCAGGGAGGGAGCUGGAGUGAUAGCGCAGUGGGUAGGGCACUUGCCUUGCACGUGGCUGACCCCAGUUCGAAUCCCAGCAUCCCAUAUGGUCCCCUGAGCACCGUCAGGAGUGAUUCCUGAGUGCAGAGCCAGGAGUGACCCCUGUGCAUCUCCGGGUGUGACCCAAAAAGAAAAGAAAAAAAGACAUUAGAGGUGAGACGGUCCUAGGAGGAAUUAGAAAUACAAGGUAGGGGGGCCGGAGCGAUAGCACAGUGGGUAGGGCGUUUGCCUUGCACGCGGCCGACCCAGGUUCGAUCCCUGGCAUCCCAUAUGGUCCCCCAAGCACUGCCAGCAGUAAUUCCUGAGUGCAAAAGCCAGGAGUAACCCCUGAGCAUCGCUGGGUGUGACCCAAAAAAGCAAAAAAAAAAAAAGAAAUACAAGGUAGGGGCUGCAGAGAGUGCUCUGAAGGCUGGGGCAAGCAUGUGGGAGUUCUGGAAGCAAUCCCCGGCACCACACAGCCCUCAGAGCACCCACCCCUAUCCCACAGGGCAGUAAGUCAGGAGUAGCCCCUUAACACUGCCUGGUGGGGCUCCCCACUGAAAAUACCAUGUUCUUUCUUAUGGUGGGGGGUGGGGCGGGUUCUGGGACCACACCUGGCAGGGCGUGGAGCGACCACGUGGGACGCCAGGAAUUGAACCUGGGUCGGCCAACAUCAAGGCAAGCACCCUCCCCGCUGUACUAGCACUCGGGCCCAUGAUUUUAAAAAAGCUGCUCGAACACACGGCAUCCUUCAGAGGAGUAUCGCGCUCGGAAUGACAGGGAAGAGAUUUCAUCAGGAGGAUUUCUUCAUUUCAGGCACUGGAAUUUAGAGAGCCCUGAGUGAUGGGUGUAUUUAGACACCCGCUGUCACAGCUUGUGAGAAUCAUCAAAUUUGGGCGUUGAGGGGGAAUUCCCUACAGGCCGGGGCUUGUGCCUUCAGCCCAAAGUGAAACUGAGCGCGCGUCUCUUCCAGAAACACGUCUACAUUUAUUUAAACUACAGAUCGGUGACGGAGCUAUGUAGUGGAUUAGAGAUGAAAUAAAAUAGAUUAUGCGUAACGUAAAUUCUAUGUGCAUUUUAUUCUAACUCCAUUUUAUAUACAAACCCAAUCUAUUCAGCCAAGUGUGGAUCAGGUAUGAGUACAAUGGUAGUUUGGCUUGGGGUGGUUGCACUGUUGUGUCUGUACUGAAUGUUCAGACACUAUAAUGUACAAGAGGGGCCAGAGUGACAGUACAGUGAUUGGGGGCCUUGCACAUGACCUGGAUCUAGUCACAUGGUCCCCUGAGCACAGAGCCAGGACUAAGCCCUGAGCACUGCCAUUUGGGGUUUGAUUUUUUUUUUUUUUGGCACCCAAACACUAAGGAGAAAAAGGAAUGUGUGUACGUGUGUGUGUGUGUGUAUAAUGUACAACUACACAGCAUCUGCACUGUAUUAGAUAUGAGUAGUCUAGAGAUACAUGAAAUAGAUCAUUGUAUGAACCCCCUUGUAAGGAACAAGAGCAUCCAGAAUUUCAGAUCAACCGUGAUUGGGGAACCAGGAUUGCCAUACAGACAGAAGCUUGCGUGACCUGUGAGCAGAGCAGUUGCCUUGCACAUGUGAGGUUCUGUGUUCGAUUGCUGGCACCCCUUCACCACCACCCCCCAAGAAAUAAACAGCAUGAUGUAUCUAGCAAUUCGAGUGGUUCUCUGAUUGAAUGAUUGUAUGCCUACGAGGUGCCAGGCGCCAUCCCGAGCACUGCUGUUCCAUC